AUGUUUCCACUGUCAGCUUUGCCAAGAUGCAUCGCUCUCCGCUCAAAGCAUGACAACAGCUACCUGCGCUCCGUGCACGACGAGAGCCAGGGCGGCAGUUUCAUCGAGCUAAGCGCUGGCGACGGAGGCGUCAUGAACCCGCGCUCCAGGUUCUACCUGGAGCCGUCCAAGGAGCACGACGGGCUCGUGCACGUCAGAUGCUGCUACAACAACAAGUACUGGGUGCCACAGCAGCGCGUGCUUCACGGCAGCACUCGGUGGACUAUUGGCACCGCAAAUGAGCUGGAGGAGGACCUCUCCAAGCCGUCAUGCACCCUGUUUAAGCACAUCCCCGUCGCCGACGAGGAGGACUCCACCUGCAGGUUCCUCCAUUCCCAGCUAGGAAAAUAUGCUUGCGUGAAAUCAAGUUCUGAUAUGUCCAAACGUCCCUACUUGCAUAUAGCACACGAAGAAGCUGAUCAAGAUAAUCUCCUUCGUGCCUUCACUAUCCUUGAUGUGUCGGAACAGAAGCAGUUGCCUACUUAUCUUGCUUUCAAAGGUGACAAUGGGCAGUUCCUUGGCGCGAAGAUCGUCGAGGGUUAUAAUUAUCUUGAAUAUUCCCAAACAGAUAUUGGAGAUCCAAGUGUGUUGCAUAAAGUUUUCACAAAUAAAGAUGGAGUUGUCCGUAUAAAAUCCAACUAUUUUGAUAGGUUUUGGAGGCGGAGCCCAAAUUGGAUCUGGGCUGAUUCAAGUGACACCACCCACAACAACCUUGACACAUUAUUCAAGGUGACCACUGGGCCUGACUUCAUUGCACUGCAAAACUUGGGCAACAACAAUUUCUGUAAAAGGUUAACCACAGAAGGGAAAACAAGUUGCCUCAAUGCUGGUAUUGGUUCCAUCACAGUUGAAGCAAGAAUGCAGUGCUAUGAACCAGUUGUUUCUCGAGACAUAGAUGAUAUUCAUUUUAGCCUAGAUGAAGCUAAGAUCUAUACCAAGGAUGUUGAGGGUCUGGAUAGUCAAAUUGUUGAAAACAAGACCACUACAACAAACAAAACCAAAAUGGCCUUCACAUACACACAUACCGUGGCGAGUACCUGGAGUUCUACUGUUUCAAUGAAGAUAGGCAUCAAAACCAACCUUAAAGCCGGAGUUCCAUUUAUAGUUGACGGAAAAAUUGAGGUGAGCACUGAAUUUAGUGGAUCAUAUACCUGGGGAAAAACCGAAACUGAACAAAAACAAGUUAGCAAACAAAUUGAUGUUGAAGUUCCUCCAAUGAAGAAAGUGACAGUAAAAGCGAUUGGAUCAAAUGGUGUCUGUGAUAUUCCUUUCUCAUACAAGCAAAGGGAUAUUUUGACCAAUGGAGAUGAAGUUACCCAGGAAUUCACCGAUGGCAUGUAUUUUGGUGUUAAAACAUCCAGUAUCACGUUCCAUACCACAGAAGAAGACCUGUGA
rnacentral:rRNA from 1 species